rnacentral:rRNA from 1 species
ACUCCUACGGGAGGCAGCAGUGGGGAAUAUUGCACAAUGGGCGCAAGCCUGAUGCAGCCAUGCCGCGUGUGUGAAGAAGGCCUUCGGUUGUAAAGCACUUUCAGUCGUGAGGAAGGUAGUGUAGUUAAUAGCUGCAUUAUUUGUACGUUAGCGACAGAAGAAGCACCGGCUAACUCCGUGCCAGCAGCCGCGGUAAUACGGAGGGGUGCGAGCGUUAAUCGGAAUUACUGGGCGUAAAGCGCAUGCAGGUGGUUUGUUAAGUCAGAUGUGAAAGCCCGGGGCUCAACCUCGGAAUAGCAUUUGAAACUGGCAGACUAGAGUACUGUAGAGGGGGUAGAAUUUCAGGUGUAGCGGUGAAAUGCGUAGAGAUCUGAAGGAAUACCGGUGGCGAAGGCGGCCCCCUGGACAGAUACUGACACUCAGAUGCGAAAGCGUGGGGAGCAAACAGGAUUAGAUAACCUGGUGGAUAGCG